AACGCACAUUGCGCCCGCCAGCAUCCUGGCGGGCAUGCCUGUCCGAGCGUCACUCCCGCCCGUCAAGCCCGGCUUGCGUUGGGGCGCUGCGGCCGCCGCAGGCCCCCAAAUCCAGUGGCGGGACCGCCGCCGCGCCGAGCGUAGUAGGGCACCUCGCUCCGGCGCGGGGGCGGCCUCCGGCCGUAAAAGGCCGCUUCCCGGCUCAAAAGGUCGACCUCGGAUCAGGUAGGAAUACCCGCUGAACUUAA
rnacentral:misc_RNA from 1 species